rnacentral:misc_RNA from 1 species
GUGAGUCAUCGAAUCUUUGAACGCACAUUGCGCCCGCCAGUAUUCUGGCGGGCAUGCCUGUUCGAGCGUCAUUACAACCCUCAAGUCCCCUGUGGACUUGGUGUUGGGGACCGGCGACACGCAGCUGUGUUUUUCUCACAGUUGGUUCGCCGCCCCCUAAAUGACUUGGCGGCCCCGUCUUAGGCUACCCCUCUGCGUAGUAGAACACACCUCGCAACAGGAAGCCCGGCGAAUGGCCACUGCCGUAAAACCCCCCAACUUCUUUCAGAGUUGACCUCGAAUCAGGUAGGAAUACCCGCUGAACUUAAGCAUAUCAAUAAGCGGAGGA